GGAUUACAGGCGUGAGCCACCACACCUGGCUAGUUGUUUAUAUUUAAUUGUCUUUUUUUCACUAAUGAGGACCACCUUGUAAAUUCUGGGCAUUUUCAGAGUUUUCUCUUCCAUGUGAAUUGCUCCAGCUAACUUAAUAUUAGUUUAUCAAGGGUUUGUGUAGACCUGGCUUUGUCUCUUUCCAUCUGUUUCUCUCUUUCCCUUUAACGUCACUUGCCUGAGGUCUAUAAGGCCCUUUAAGGUUGCCAGCCCAGAGCCAGAAGAGAUUGGUGUCCCUGAAGUUAAGAAAGCCACCUUUGCCUACAGAUGGUGUUCACAGUGUUGGUGUGGAGUCACAGCUUGACUUUUGGGGGCCCCAGGAGAUGUUGACCCAGCAGGGCGUGGCGCUGCAGAACUACGACAACAAGCUGGUCAAAUGCAUAGAGGAGCUAUGCCAGAAGCAGGAGGAGCUGUGCUGGCAGAUCCAGCAGGAGGAGGACAAGAAACAGCGGCUGCAGAAUGAGGUGAGGCAGCUGACAGAGAAGCUGGCCUGCGUCAACGAGAAGCUGGCCCGCAUCGAGAACCUGGCACGCAAGAUUGCCUCUUGCUGUAAGUUCUACCAGACCAUUGCGGAGACGGAGGCCACCUACCUCAAGAUGCUGGAGAGCUCCCAGACUUUGCUCAGUGUCCUGAAGAGGGAAGCUGGGAACCUGACCAAGGCUACAGC
rnacentral:sRNA from 1 species